ensembl:lncRNA
CUGCUCAGCAGCGGCCCAGACAGGAACCACUAACCUGAAUGCAAAUGGGAGAGAUGCAGUCUGAGCCUCAGCCUGGGUCUAUCCACCCACACCAUGCCUGCCCCCAGCCAGAAGCAGUGCCUGUGACCCCAUGGAGAAGAGACUGUCUGUUGCCUGCUGUGAGUGAGAGGCUGCCCUCUGCCUGCUUUCAGAUGGGCACCUGUGGCUGGGAUCGAACUUGGGACCUUGUGCUUGCGAGGCAGCCAGUGUCACCACUAAGCCAAAUCCUUGGCCCCUCAUACUGCACUGUAAAAGCAGCUUUACACAGUUCUUUAAGGGUCUUCAAAAUGUACCAGCUUUAUUGGAUCUCCAGCUGGAAGGUGGCAGUCAUCAUGAUCAUAUAAAAAGAUGUUCAGUGGGACUUUUCCCCGGUGUCCUGGGAUGCUGGCCAAAGCUGAGAACAAUGGGUGAGAAGUAUCUCCUCACUGUAAAGAAAGGACUGAAAAUAUCCUGCUGAACACACUCGGAGUAAGAAGCACCUUCCCAGCAACCAUUCACCCCAGCAAGGUCGAGCAGCCCAGACAGCCAGGCUUAGCCCAGAGAGGACCGUGAUGGCACCAGUGACUCCAGAGUCUUCUCUCCUGCAUUUAUCCCACUCACCCUAGUUGAAUCCAAGAUAUCCAGAAGAAAAAAUGGAGGGGUGGCCAAGAGUGAAAGACUAUUUGAGCCCCUUCCUCAUUGGAGUUGUUUGAUUCCUGGGUAAGGCAUGAGUCAAAGAGGGAAAAGAAGUAAGAGAUCAUGUUUGAAAUGGAAGUUUCACUGUUAGACUGGAUUGGACCCUGGACCACCAAAAAAGAAAUAAUAAUUAACUAAAUGAUCCUGUUUAUAGUGGAAAGUGAAGAAACACUUCAGAAUCUGCCUGAGAUUCCAUAACCAUGUGGGAAAGUGGGGUAUAAUAGUGUGUUUCCUGAGUGGUGGACUCCACCGAAGUCAAAGUGAAAAUAACUUCAGUCUACAGCUAAGUGUAUGUUUAAGGACCAAUUUUUGUUUUAAUUGUUUGUGUGCUUUAUAGCUGGGAAAUCUGAGGCAUAGACUAUGAUCCUUUAUCCAAGGGCAGUAUCUGCUCCAUCUGUCACGUAUUUUAACAAUAUGCAACUGGAUUUUUCCCUAGACAAUUUUUCUGUAUUUUCUUUUCUAUGAUUGCCUUCAAUUUACAACCAAGUUAUUAUUCUAAAAUAUUAAUUCCAUAGUAACAAAAACAAUCAGCAAAUCUCAUUUCUUCAUUAGAUACACAGUUCUCCCUCCCAAUAUGUGCAGGUUCCGCAUCUGAAGGUUCAACCAGUUAUGGAUUGAACUAUUUGGAAAAAGAUUCCAUCUGUAUUGAACACAGACAGUUUUCUUGCCCUUAUUCCCUAAAUAAAACAGUAUUGCAGCUCUCUAUGUAGCAUUUACUUUCUGGUAGGCAUUCUAAGUAAUCUAGAGACGAGUAAAGUUGCACAGGAGGAAAUGGGUAGACUGUAUGCAAAUACUAUGCCAUUUUAUCUCAGGCACUUGAGAAUCUGUGAAUUUUGGUUCCUGUGGGGCAUCCUGCUACCAUUUCUCUGCACAUAUCACAGGACAACUAUAUAUAGAGAGGUUGGUUUAUGACAAGUUAGUGAGGAACACCUGUUUAUGAAAAAGUAGUCAUAUUUUAACCAUAGCAUGGUUACAUUCAGUGAAUUCCUUCUCUGGGUAUGUGAAAGAUUUAACAAGAAAUGAAUAUUAUUUCUUCAGUUAAGCUUACAUAAGCUGUAUAGAAAGAAAGCCAUACUUUUCAAAGAAAUAACUAUAAAUACUUGGCUUGUGAAAAGUUAUGGCCUGUGAAGACAGGCAGAUCCAGAUAAAAUUGCUAUGCAUGUGACCUAGGGAAAAUUAUUUAGUCUCUCUGAAGUUCAGUUUUCUCAUCUGUAAAAUGGGACUCUUGGAUCUUAUUUUAUCUAGUGCUAUGCAAGGAUUAAAUGAAAUCACACACAUCACAGAUUACCUUAAAGAAUACAAUCAAUAAGUUUUUGUUCUCUGCCUUCCUCCUGCUCCUUGCUCCUAAACACAGGUUUGCCUAAUUUUUAUUUAUUUUAGUUUAAAAAUAUAUAUGGAAACAUGCAGUCCUAUUUUACUUAACUGUUUUGUAUGAUUACAAAUAUAAUUUGUAAUCUUUGCCACAAGUUAAAAGGGAGCGUAAUAAAAUGUUUAAUUACCUUACCUCCUAUUCCAAAUUCCUAAAAUAC